AUUGAACGCUGGCGGCAUGCUUUACACAUGCAAGUCGAACGGUAACAGGGGGCUUGCUCCGCUGACGAGUGGCGAACGGGUGAGUAAUGCGUCGGAACGUGCCGAGUAGUGGGGGAUAACGCAUCGAAAGGUGUGCUAAUACCGCAUUCGUACUGAGGUAGAAAGUGGGGGACGUUCGGGCCGCACGCUAUUCGAGCGGCCGAAGUAUGAUUAGCUAGUUGGUGAGGUAAAGGCUCACCAAGGCGACGAUCAGUAGCGGGUCUGAGAGGAUGGUCCGCCACACUGGGACUGAGACACGGCCCAGACUCCUACGGGAGGAAGCAGUGGGGAAUUUUGGACAAUGGGCGCGAGCCUGAUCCAGCCAUACCGCGUGUCUGAAGAAGGCCUUCGGGUUGUAAAGGACUUUUGUCCGGGAGCAAAUGCCUGGUGUUAAUAGCACUGGGAGCUGAGAGUACCGGAAGAAUAAGCACCGGCUAACUACGUGCCAGCAGCCGCAGUAACAC
rnacentral:rRNA from 1 species